rnacentral:rRNA from 1 species
UACGAAGGGUGCAAACGUUGCUCGGAAUCAUUGGGCGUAAAGCGCGUGUAGGCGGCUGGCUAAGUCCGCUCUGAAAGCCCGGGGCUCAACCCCGGGAGGCGGGUGGAUACUGGUCAGCUCGAGUCCGGAAGAGGAGUGUGGAAUUCCUGGUGUAGCGGUGAAAUGCGCAGAUAUCAGGAGGAACACCAAUGGCGAAGGCAGCACUCUGGGACGGUACUGACGCUGAGACGCGAAAGCGUGGGGAGCGAACAGG